rnacentral:lncRNA from 1 species
AGAAAGAGAGAGAGCAGGAGAGAGAGAGACAGACAGAAUCCACUAGUAGAAUAAGCCAUGAUCACCACUCAAAACUUGUAAGUUUACUUCUUUGCUAAUAGAUAUUGGAAUCAUUAAGUUUGCUCUUAAAAAAGUAUUUUUGUUUUGUUUUGUUUUUUCAGUUGCUACUACUUGAUCAGUACCUGGAAUUCUGAGGAAAACCCUAUUAGAGAUUGCAAAUCCAGUAAAUAAAGGCAG